CAGUCGCCGCGGGAAUACGUAGGUGGAAAGCGUUGUCCGGAAUUAUUGGGCGUAAAGGGCUCGCAGGCGGUUUCUUAAGUCUGAUGUGAAAGCCCCCGGCUCAACCGGGGAGGGUCAUUGGAAACUGGGAAACUUGAGUGCAGAAGAGGAGAGUGGAAUUCCACGUGUAGCGGUGAAAUGCGUAGAGAUGUGGAGGAACACCAGUGGCGAAGGCGACUCUCUGGUCUGUAACUGACGCUGAGGAGCGAAAGCGUGGGGAGCGAACAGGAUUAGAUACCCGAGUAGUCCCUGUCUCUUAUAA
rnacentral:rRNA from 1 species